CUCUAGGGCGCCGCCCUGUUGCUACUGGUCAAUGUGGCCAGCGCAAUUACUAUUGAAAGAGCUGAAAACAAGUACAGGUCACCUUAUGCUUUGUCAUCUAAAAACGCAUAACUGAUGGCUUUAUGAAGGUGGUGCGUUAAUAUUUAGUUUACAGAAAGCGAUCGCUGAGUCCGUGACUUAUGUAAAUCACGAUGUACGCAUUCAUGCAAUAAAGGAUGACGCGAAUUUCGGUUUCGAAUCUGUUUUUUGGAUGCGUAGUAGUUUCGUACAGUUUAGGUUUGACAUGCGAUCGCGCGUCGACAUCGGACGCUAUGGCACACUCGUGCCUUAUGUGCCACCGAAGCCCCGAAGUGCUCUGGCAUAUACCUUCACAUAUAUGCAAUGGCAAGCCCUUCCGUGUAUUCCAAAGGUAAAAUGUAAGGUCUAAAUUAAAGAAGACAUUUUUAGUCAGAAACAAGCAAAAAUGGUGAAUGCAGAGUAUCAGAAGCCCAAGGUACAGAAAUUAUGAGAAGUGUCGAAUGAUUUUAAGGAAAGAGUCGUAUUUGAAAAUGCAAGACUCUUUAGUGGAGGUCAAGCAAGUCAAUAUAGGUAGAAUACUCUGCAAAAUUAUGCGAGUGAGGGGAUGUCAAACAAUGGGUCAGGAAAUGCGUUGUUUUUCUACAAAACAAAAGCUGAUUGCCAUUGCAUAAGUCACUUUAGCAUCAUGAGACUGCUGCUUGAUAAAUUCAGAAAUAAA
rnacentral:lncRNA from 1 species